CAUACAUAUUGGGCCGAAUUUGUUGGGACAUAUAAAUGUAAGCAGCCUUUGAGUAUCGAUUAGCCGUCAGUAGAAAACGAAGAGAAACAGAAGCAGCAAAGAAAAGAGAUUAGGGGUCAAAAAGGAGAGAUGGCGUCGCUGAUGAGAUGGUUCGCCGAUCCCAGUAGAAAUCCGCUCGCUAAGUGGCACCUGAGAGCUGUUGAUCAAAGCCUCCGCAAAUACGGUCUGCGUUAUGACGAUUUGUACGAUCCUCAAUUCUCUUUGGAUAUUAAUGAGGCGCUCAAUCGGCUUCCCGAAGAGGUAGUUCAUGCUCGAAACCAGCGUCUCAAGCGCUGUAUGGAUCUCAGCAUGAAGCACUCCUCCCUUCCCAAGGACCUCCAGGAUCUACAAUCUCAUCAAAAAGAUGCUUCCUUUCCCAACUUGAGUACCCCAUAAAUAACCAGUAGUCCGAAAUAGAACGGUCUCCCGCCUGUAAUGCUUUUAUGACAUCUAGCGUCUCCCAGUGAUCAAGAAAGUGAAUCUCUGGUUCCGCGUCUUGAUCACGAUAUUUCACAUGCUUCGAGAUAGAGCAACAAGAGGCAUUCCUCGUAUUAUAACUGGCCCCCCAAGAGAUAAAGAUGCCCGUUUUAGCAGUUCUAACCCUUCAUCUAAUUUUCCGAGUGUGUGCCAACUGAUAUGCUUAUUAAUAAUUACACCUUGGAAUCCCGUACUUUGAUUCACUUUAUCAAUUAGAAUUUUAGAUUGGUCAAAAGGAUGUACAUUGACUAGCUUCUCACUUGCAACAAGUAUUGAACCAGCAACCAGUUCAGUGCCUAUUUCAUGUGGGCAAUUGUACCUUUGCGGACUCAUUUCAUAAUCUUUAACUUCUAUUUUCUGUGCUCGGUCUUUCAGUAGAACCUCAUGGUAUAUAUUUGACAAUGAAGAAGGAUCCUUAAUAUUUGAAGCCUGUGUCACAUAUUUAUGCAAAUUUCCGUACCUGACUCUUUGUGAGGCUUUAUUCCAUAAAUAACCUGCAAAAGUUUGCUAUUUUGUUUGAUAAAAAACAAGGCUAAAUCUUUUUCGAUCCAGAAAGUUAAACCAGAGUUCCAGUUACCAUUUUCUCCGAAAAGCCUCUCCGAGUUACCUUCAUAAUAGUGGUAGUAUGCUUACGUUGUCUUAAGCAUAACUGAAUUUGCUGAUAUAUGUUUAGUUUAUUAGUAUAUGACUUGAUGUUUUUUUUGUGACCUAAAUACAUUCUGCAUUCCUGCCCCGGCUUAUUAAUUUCUUAAUAUUUGCCUCUCACUGGUCUCCGUUCUGUUCAGUGUUGAUCUAUAAAACAAGUAUGAUUGCCGUCCUCCAUUCACUGAAUUGUUGGUCCAACUAUUGGGUGCACAACUAGAAGCACAUUAUAGAUUGUAGUGACUCCAGAGAUAUGUAUUUGCCUAUCAUCCUAAUAUAUGUUUACAACUCCAUAGUUGAUAAAGAUCAACUCCACGGAACUAAGGAUGAAGUACCACACAAAUAUCAACUGGUUCAUUCCCAGGAAAAUAGAGUAUUGUAGCUUUUGAAUAACUAGCUUAUGAUAUUUUAUUAACGCAUGCAUCAUAAAAUAAAAUUUUGGUCUCUGUUUUGUAUUUCCCUUGAUAUUUAUCCUUUUUAAUUGACCAGAGACAGGAUUCUUAUAAUAUUAUAAAAGUUACCAAAGUUACACCUAAGGUUGUCAGUUUGAUCCCUAGAUACUUAGCUAAAUGGAUACCACUCAUAGGUAUCAAGAGGUCUGGAAUUCAAGUUUUGGUGGAGACAAAUGUGUCUGUGAGUAUGAAGGUUUCUUUUGAUGGACCUAAUUAAAAAGGAAAAAGAUGCUAGUAUGUAAAAACAUGCAUGUUUGUACAAAAUCUUACUAAAAAUAUGGGUGUAGUAUGUUUAUGAACUGGGUUUAUUAGCUAAUUAAUCACUUUUAAUUUUAUACUGUUGCCAAUACUAGUGCUUAGCGACAAGUUAAGAUUUCAGAUUUAGUUUAUAGGCUUUUCUAAUAAUAUUUCAGCCUUCAACUUCAACAUUACCUAAUAGUGCUGCAUGUUUAUGUAUAUCUUUUAAUUAAGUAGUUUUUUUAUGAAUAAUAUUCAUUAAUGUUGAUAUCAGCUAAAUUAAUUUAAAUUUACAUUUAAUAUGCUCUGUAAUAUUUAAUUGGACUGCCCUGUCCUAUUUGCAUAAAUUUUCGUUUUAUUUUCUCAGGCAAUGCAGACUCCAUUUAGAAGCUAUGUUCGAGAGAUGUUGGCCGUUGUACAGCGGGAGAAUGCUGAAAGGAAAGCUUUGGGUGCUCUGCCCCUCUACCAGCGCACAAUCCCUUAAUUUGAUUCUUGGAGUUGAACUGCUCGCUCUUAUAUAAUUCCUUUGAGCUGAAAAUUAGAACUGUUUAUCUAAUAAAUCAUAUGCGAGACGGUCAGAAGUCAUUCUUUGUGUAUGUUUAUGCUGACAUUUCUCGAAGAGACCUUUCAGUAUUUUGUACCAAGUACACCUUUUAAAGUAUGAAUUUUUUGUCACUCAA